AUUGAACGCUGGCGGCAGGCCUAACACAUGCAAGUCGAGCGGAGCGUCGGACGGGUGAGCAAUACCUAGGAAUCUGCCUGGUUGUGGGGGAAAACGUUCGGCAACGGACGCUAAUACCGCAUACUAUCACAUGAGCCUAGGUCGGAUUCGCUAGUUGGUGAGGUAAUGGCUCACCAGGGCUACGAUCCGUAACUGGUCUGAGAGGAUGAUCAGUCACACGGGAACUGAGACACGGUCCAGACUCCUACGGGAGGCAGCGGUGGGAAAUAUUGGACAAUGGGCGAAAGCCUGAUCCAGCCAUGCCGCGUAUGUGAAGAAGGUCUUCGGAUUGUAAAGCACUUUAAGUUGGGAGGCGUUACCGACAGAGUAAGCACCGGCUAACUCUGUGCCAGCAGCCGCGGUAAUUC
rnacentral:rRNA from 1 species